GUCCACGCCGUAAACGAUGAAUACUAGGUGUCGGGGCCCAUAAGGGCUUCGGUGCCGCAGCAAACGCAAUAAGUAUUCCACCUGGGGAGUACGUUCGCAAGAAUGAAACUCAAAAGGAAUUGACGGGGGACCCGCACAAGCGGUGGAGCAUGUGGUUUUAAUUCGAAGCAACGCGAAGAACCUUACCAAGUCUUGACAUCCCACUGACCGGACAGUAAUGUGUCCUUCCUUCGGGACAGUGGUGACAGGUGGUGCAUGGUUGUCGU
rnacentral:rRNA from 1 species